rnacentral:rRNA from 1 species
CCUACGGGGGGCAGCAGUAGGGAAUAUUGCACAAUGGGGGAAACCCUGAAGCAGCAACGCCGCGUGGAGGAUGAAGGUUUUCGGAUUGUAAACUCCUUUUAUUAGGGAAGAAAAUGACGGUAUCUAACGAAUAAGCACCGGCUAACUCCGUGCCAGCAGCCGCGGUAAUACGGAGGGCGCAAGCGUGACUCGGAAUCACUGGGCGUAAAGAGAGCGUAGGCGGGAUAGCAAGUCUGGGGUGAAAUCCUAUGGCUUAACCACAGAACUGCAUUGGAAACUGUUAGUCUAGAGUGUGGGAGAGGUAAGUGGAAUUCUGGGUGGAGGGGUGAAAUGCGUAGAGAUCAAGAGGAAUACUCAUGGCGAAGGCGGCCUACUGGAACAUAACUGACGCUGAGGCGCGAAAGCGUGGGGAGCAAACAGGAUUAGAUACCCGUGUAGUC